AGCGGCGGACGGGUGAGUAACACGUGGGUAACCUGCCUGUAAGACUGGGAUAACUCCGGGAAACCGGAGCUAAUACCGGGAUAGUUCCUUGAACCGCAUGGUUCAAGGAUGAAAGACGGUUUCGGCUGUCACUUACAGAUGGACSCGCGGCGCAUUAGMUAGUUGGUGGGGUAAUGGCUCACCAAGGCGACGAUGCGUAGCCGACCUGAGAGGGUGAUCGGCCACACUGGGRSUGAGACACGGCCCAGACUCCUACGGGAGGCAGCAGUAGGGAAUCUUCCGCAAUGGACGAAAGUCUGACGGAGCAACGCCGCGUGAGUGAUGAAGGUUUUCGGAUCGUAAAGCUCUGUUGUUAGGGAAGAACAAGUGCGAGAGUAACUGCUCGCACCUUGACGGUACCUAACCAGAAAGCCACGGCUAACUACGUGCCAGCAGCCGCGGUAAUACGUAGGUGGCAAGCGUUGUCCGGAAUUAUUGGGCGUAAAGGGCUCGCAGGCGGUUUCUUAAGUCUGAUGUGAAAGCCCCCGGCUCAACCGGGGAGGGUCAUUGGAAACUGGGAAACUUGAGUGCAGAAGAGGAGAGUGGAAUUCCMCGUGUAGCGGUGAAAUGCGUAGAGAUGUGGAGGAACACCAGUGGCGAAGGCGACUCUCUGGUCUGUAACUGACGCUGAGGAGCGAAAGCGUGGGG
rnacentral:rRNA from 1 species